rnacentral:rRNA from 1 species
AACUGCGUACGGCUCAUUACACCAGCCUUAAUUUACUUGACCUUGACAACCUACUUGGAUAACUGUGGUAAUUCUAGAGCUAAUACAUGCACCAAAGCUCCGAUCCUCGCGGAGAGGAGCGCAUUUGUUCGCCACAAAACCAAGCGCCCAUCUGGGCGUCCAGUGCUGAACCAGAACAACUCAGCUGAUCGCACGGUCUUGUACCGGCGACGUGUCUUUCAAGUGUCUGCCUUAUCAACUUUCGAUGGUAGUGUACCUGACUACCAUGGUUGUGACGGGUAACGGAGGAUAAGGGUUCGACUCCGGAGAAGGGGCCUGAGAAAUGGCCACUACGUCUAAGGAUGGCAGCAGGCGCGCAAAUUACCCACUCUCAACGCGAGGAGGUAGUGACGAGAAAUAACGAGACCGUUCUCAUACGAGGCCGGUUAUUGGAAUGGGUACAAUUUAAACCCUUUAACGAGUAUCUAUGAGAGGGCAAGUCUGGUGCCAGCAGCCGCGGUAAUUCCAGCUCUC